GGCCCCAUCGUCUAGUCUGGUCCAGGACGUUAGGUUUUCAUCCUAAAAACACGGGUUCGAAUCCCGUUGGGGUCA
rnacentral:tRNA from 1 species